CAGAACCACAGAUGUCAAAGGGGGACUGCCCCAGGAGAAGUCCCCAGGAAAAGAUUCACUCCCUGCCUGCAGUUCCAGGACAUGAAGCAGGUAUCCAGAGCCAGGCUCACAGACAGAAUGAAAGUGUGCACAACAAAAGGCAUCCGGACGCUACGGGCUGCUGGGCGUGUGGUGGUGGUGGUGGUGGCGGCGGUAGGAACAUCCGUG